AGAGUUUGAUCCUGGCUCAGGAUGAACGCUGGCGGCGUGCUUAACACAUGCAAGUCGAGCGAAGCACUUUUGCGGAUUUCUUCGGAUUGAAGCAACUGUGACUGAGCGGCGGACGGGUGAGUAACGCGUGGGUAACCUGCCUCGUACAGGGGGAUAACAGUUGGAAACGGCUGCUAAUACCGCAUGAGCGCACAGGACCGCAUGGUACCGAGUGAAAAACUCCGGUGGUAUGAGAUGGACCCCCGUCUGAUUAGCUAGUUGGUGGGGUAACGGCCUACCAAGGCGACGAUCAGUAGCCGACCUGAGAGGGUGACCGGCCACAUUGGAACUGAGACACGGUCCAAACUCCUACGGGAGGCAGCAGUGGGGAAUAUUGCACAAUGGGGGAAACCCUGAUGCAGCGACGCCGCGUGAAGGAAGAAGUAUCUCGGUAUGUAAACUUCUAUCAUUAGGGAAGAAAAGAAUGACGGUACCUAACUAAAAACAACCGGCUAAAUACGUGCCAGCAGCCGCGGUAAUACGUAUGGUUCAAGCGUUAUCCGGAUUUACUGGGUGUAAAGGGUGAGUAGGCGGUUAUGCAAGUCAUAUGUGAAAUGUCGGGGCUCAACUCCGGCCUGCAUAAGAAACUGUAUAACUAGAGUGCAGGAGAGGCAAGCGGAAUUCCUAGUGUAGCGGUGAAAUGCGUAGUUAUUAGGAACAACACCGGUGGCGAAGGCGGCUUGCUGGACUGUUACUGACGCUGAGUCACGAAAGCGUGGGGAGCAAACAGGAUUAGAUACCCUGGUAGUCCACGCCGUAAACGAUGAGUGCUAGGUGUUGGCGAGGAAUCGUCGGUGCCGCAGCAAACGCAAUAAGCACUCCACCUGGGGAGUACGGCCGCAAGGUUGAAACUCAAAGGAAUUGACGGGGGCCCGCACAAGCGGUGGAGCAUGUGGUUUAAUUUGAAGCAACGCGAAGAACCUUACCUAAACUUGACAUCCCGAUGACCGUCUAUGUAAUGUAGACUCUCUUCGGAGCAUCGGAGACAGGUGGUGCAUGGUUGUCGUCAGCUCGUGUCGUGAGAUGUUGGGUUAAGUCCCGCAACGAGCGCAACCCUUCUCGUUAGUAGCCAUCAUUAAGUUGGCCACUCUAGCGAGACUGCCGUGGAUAACACGGAGGAAGGUGGGGAGGACGUCAAAUCAUCAUGCCCCUUAUGUUUAGGGCUACACACGUGCUCCAAUGGCUGUCACAAAGUGAAGCGAACCUGUGAAGGCAAGCCAACCCCAAAAAGGCAGUCCCAGUUCGGAUUGUAGUCUGCAACUCGACUACAUGAAGUUGGAAUCGCUGGUAAUCGCGAAUCAGAAUGUCGCGGUGAAUACGUUCCCGGCUCUUG
rnacentral:rRNA from 1 species